CUUAAGUUGAGAACGGCAAACAGUAAACAGUUCCAAAGAAUCUCCUUUAGUAGGUGUCCUACAUCACUUUUUUAUGGACGCCCUGCAACCAAUCAGACUUGAGUAUCCACCCAGACCAUGGUAUAAGAUG